AAAAAACCCCCACCUUUCCUCCAAAACACUUCUCUUCCUCCACCGUGAACUAAAAAAUCUUCCACCAAUCACCACCUCUUAUGGCCUCUGCUCCUCCUCUUUUCUCAUCUCCCUCCUCCCAUCACUGCUAUAAGCGUCAUCAUGGUCACUGUCAUUCGCCAUCGCAAGUCCACUUUCUCCUCCACUUUUUCUUUUAUUUUCUUCUCCUACUUCUUUAUUCUCCUCUCCUUAGUAGAGCCUCCAAACUCUGCCACUCCGAACCAUCGUUAAACAUAGCAUCACCAUCAUCAGACUGCCACCGAGCCAUCACCGAACCACCGUCUUUGUCACUGCUGG
rnacentral:lncRNA from 1 species